CCGUUCCGGGCCUUGUACACACCGCCCGUCACGUCACGAAAGUCGGUAACACCCGAAGCCGGUGGCCCAACCCCUUGUGGGAGGGAGCUGUCGAAGGUGGGACUGGCGAUUGGGACU
rnacentral:rRNA from 1 species